UAGGGAAUCUUCCGCAAUGGGCGAAAGCCUGACGGAGCAACGCCGCGUGAGUGAUGAAGGUCUUCGGAUCGUAAAACUCUGUUAUUAGGGAAGAACAAAUGUGUAAGUAACUAUGCACGUCUUGACGGUACCUAAUCAGAAAGCCACGGCUAACUACGUGCCAGUAGCCGCGGUAAUACGUAGGUGGCAAGCGUUAUCCGGAAUUAUUGGGCGUAAAGCGCGCGUAGGCGGUUUUUUAAGUCUGAUGUGAAAGCCCACGGCUCAACCGUGGAGGGUCAUUGGAAACUGGAAAACUUGAGUGCAGAAGAGGAAAGUGGAAUUCCAUGUGUAGCGGUGAAAUGCGCAGAGAUAUGGAGGAACACCAGUGGCGAAGGCGACUUUCUGGUCUGUAACUGACGCUGAUGUGCGAAAGCGUGGGGAUCAAACAGG
rnacentral:rRNA from 1 species